UUCAGAUAGGCAGAAGAUCCUAUGUAAGUGAAAGAACCUAGUGGGGAAACCCCCACUCAACUCCUGAUUCUGCGUGCACCCAAGAAUCACUAACAGAACA
rnacentral:pre_miRNA from 7 species